rnacentral:sRNA from 1 species
AUUAAAAAAUAACAGAUACCCUAGUGAAGAAGGGCUGUCACCCUGCUAGGACAUUCUUAGAGCAGUCUGUAUUAAGAGAGAUAUCUUUUAGUAUAGGACUUAAGUGACAUUAUAAUUAAUAAGUUUUUACUUAUUAAAAAGAUGAAGCUUGAAGGUUACGGGAAGUACCAAUAGUUAGGAAUGGUGUAUCUAUACAGUUUAAUAUAAUGCCGCAACAGUGUGGGGAGAGUAAUAGACGCUCGUGAAGAGAAGAACCUUAAGUCUUAGUCCUGUGGUGGGAUUGAGCAGCUUAAGGAAUACCAAACAAUCUCCUUCGCUAUGAUGUUGUAGAAAUACAACUAUAACACACAGCAGCGGACAAGUAGCCCAUAGGCGUGAAAUGAGGAAACAGUAUGUUUAAACUGAUUAAAAUUCUGAAUGAUGGGUGAAAGUUGCAGGUAGAAAAUCCUGUCAUAGCAUUGGGGAGAAAUCCUGUGGUAAGAAGUUUAGAGGUCGCUCCUUUAAGCUCAGACUUAUCAUCUAUGUAGCAUAAUAAUAGCAGACUGUAUAGGAUAAGACGAAGGUCUAUCUGUUUUUUUGUGUUA